GAUGAACGCUGGCGGCGUGCCUAAUACAUGCAAGUCGAGCGAACAGACGAGGAGCUUGCUCCUCUGACGUUAGCGGCGGACGGGUGAGUAACACGUGGAUAACCUACCUAUAAAACUGGGAUAACUUCGGGAAACCGGAGCUAAUACCGGAUAAUAUAUUGAACCGCAUGGUUCAAUAGUGAAAGACGGUUUUGCUGUCACUUAUAGAUGGAUCCGCGCCGCAUUAGCUAGUUGGUAAGGUAACGGCUUACCAAGGCAACGAUGCGUAGCCGACCUGAGAGGGUGAUCGGCCACACUGGAACUGAGACACGGUCCAGACUCCUACGGGAGGCAGCAGUAGGGAAUCUUCCGCAAUGGGCGAAAGCCUGACGGAGCAACGCCGCGUGAGUGAUGAAGGUCUUCGGAUCGUAAAACUCUGUUAUUAGGGAAGAACAAAUGUGUAAGUAAAUAUGCACGUCUUGACGGUACCUAAUCAGAAAGCCACGGCUAACUACGUG
rnacentral:rRNA from 1 species